rnacentral:rRNA from 1 species
UACGAAGGGGGCUAGCGUUGCUCGGAAUCACUGGGCUAAAGGGUGCGUAGGCGGGUCUUUAAGUCAGGGGUGAAAUCCUGGAGCUCAACUCCAGAACUGCCUUUGAUACUGAGGAUCUUGAGUUCGGGAGAGGUGAGUGGAACUGCGAGUGUAGAGGUGAAAUUCGUAGAUAUUCGCAAGAACACCAGUGGCGAAGGCGGCUCACUGGCCCGAUACUGACGCUGAUGCACGAAAGCGUGGGGAGCAAACAGG